CCAAAAACAAAACAACUGACCCUUUCUAAUCGCUUUCCAGUCAGUCAAGCGGUUUCAAUGGUAAAAAGCAGAGAGGCGCAAUAGCUGGUGGAAGGAACUGGAAGUGGAACAUGGGAAACUCUCUCUCACUUGCAGCUUUUCACUUCUACUUCUAGUGCCAAUAAGGUUUGAACUUUGAAUUGAAUUGAAAAACUUGAAUAGGGAGUUAGGGUUGUUUUGUUGAGGAAGUCACAGUAGAGAGAAUGGAGCGUAGUUUGUGGGGUCACUUGCCGCUAUUGAUGAGGUCGAAUUCGAAAGAGUCAGUUGAAUACAUUCUCCAAGCCCUUUGGAGAACACGAAAAACUGGUCUCGACCCUGCCGACCGCCACAUCGUCCGCGACAUGCUCCAGCUUGAAAACGAUUCCGACCUCGACCCUCUUUUGGUAUGUCUUCGCAUGUUGAUCCGUAGGUUUGUUUACGAGAAUGUCAGCAAGGAUGACAUUCAUAAACUGUUUCCCACUGAAGUAUUGCCUGAACUACAAAGACUAUUGACGCUUCUGCUACAAAAGUUUCAACGAGAAUGGCAGGAUGAUUUACUCAAGGAUCAGGUUACUUUGCCCCGGUUGAAGGCAAUGACAUGGGAUAUGGCAAAUCAAGAUGCUGAAUCCGUAGACCCUGUGGCUGUUAUCAAUUUGAAGCUUCAAAAUGAUGCACAGUCUCACUCAGGAGAAUUGGAUGUGAAGUUCCAAUUAGCUCAAGAUACUCUAGAGACGAUGCUGAGUUCCAUGUACUCUAUAAGAGACCAGUUGUCUAACAUGGAUGAGACCUCAACGAGGCAUUUAUCCCAAGAAACCAAUGUGAUGUAGUUCAUGAUAUGCAUGAGAUACUGUGACGCGAAGAGUGUUCCUUCCUAGAUUCUUUUUCCUCGAGUCUUCUCUGUCAACAAAAAGUGCUCUCUCCUCAGUCUCUCACACUCAACAAACAAACUCAGAUCAGAUCUUUACAACAGUCUGCUCAUAAAUCUUGAUGGCUCUUGUGAUCAACAAAGAAGCCUCAUCUUCCUCUUUCACCCACCAAUCCAAGAACUUUGAUGUUUUCUUGAGUUUCAGAGGUCAAGAUACCUGUUGUGGUUUUAUUAGCCAUUUGUAUGAGGCUUUGCAUUUAAGGGGUAUUCACACCUUCAUCGAUGAUAAGCUCCUAAGGGGAGAAAAAAUUUCUACAGAGCUCUUGAAAACCAUUGAGAACUCAACAAUAUCAAUAAUUGUAUUCUCUGAAAACUAUGCAUUAUCCACUUGGUGUUUGGAUGAGUUAGCCAAGAUUAUUGAGUGCAAGAAGAAUGACCAAUUGGUGCGACCAAUUUUUUAUAAGGUGGACCCAUCAGAACUACGUAACCAAAAAUGGAAAGUUUGGAAAAGCUCUAGAUAAACAUGAAAAAAACAUUAAGGACAACAAGGAAAAGUGCUUCUUGGAGAGACGCUCUCCAAGAAGCAGCCAAUAUAUCUGGUUGGCAUUACCAGCAAAGUUGCAGCGAGUCCAAAUUUAUCCAAGAAAUUGUUGAAGAGAUCUCAAAUUCUAAAUUGAAUCGCAAGCCAGUAUCUAUUGCUCGAUACCCUGUUGGAAUAAAUAAUUGUGUAAAGACCAUUCUUUCAGAUAUUGAGUCAAAUGAUGCUCGCAUGAUAGGAAUCUAUGGCCCUGGUGGAAUAGGUAAAACAACAAUCGCAAAAGCUAUUUUUAAUAGAAUUUGUGAUCAUUUUGAUGAAUUUUGUAAUCUAGAAAAUUUUAGAGAAAAAUUGGGGACAAAUAAUGGUGUAAUCAAACUACAAGAGACACUUAUUUUUGAAAUCUUAAGAGAUAGAAAUUUAAAGGUGGGUAACAAAUCUAGAGGAAUCAAUAUGAUAAUGGAAAGACUUUCUUUUAAGAGGAUUCUUUUAGUUCUCGAUGAUGUGGAUAAAUGGGUCCAUAUAGAAAAUUUGCUUGGAGGAUGUGAUUGGUUUGCUUUUGGAAGCAAAAUCAUUAUAACAACAAGAAACAAACACUUGGUAGCUACUCUUGGAAAACGUUUUUCAAUGCACGAGGUUAAGGAAUUAGAUCAAGAUGAAGCUCUUGAACUCUUUAGUAUGCAUGCCUUCCAAAGCAACAAACCUAAAAAAGAUUACUUGGAACUUGCAAACCAAGUUAUAUAAUAUACCAAGGGAUUUCCAUUAGCUCUAGUAAUAAUGGGUGUUGAUUUGUGUGGAAGAACUAAACCUAAAUGGAAAAGUGCAAUAGAUAAGUAUGAAAGAAUUCCUAACAAAGAAAUUCAAAAUUUACUUGAAAUAAGUUAUGAAGGAUUGGAUGAAGCUGAAAAAGAUAUUUUCCUUGAUAUUGCAUGUUUCUUUAAGGGAUUUCAUAAGAAGUAUGUCAUGGAUGUACUAGAUUCAUGUGAUUUACAUCCAAUCUAUGGAAUUAAAAAACUUAUUGAUAUGUGUCUAAUAACUGUUGAUCAAUAUGACAAAUUGUCAAUGCAUGACUUGCUACAACAAAUGGGUAAGGACAUUGUUCGACGGGAAUCACCACAACUACCUGGAGAACAUAGUAGACUAUGGCAUUAUGAGGAUGUUCUUGAUGUACUAACUGAAAAUACGGAUUAUUGUUCUAGAGAUCAAGCAGAAAACAAGAUGAAGUCAUAAGCAACCAAACCCCUCCAUUAUCAUGACUCUGUUCCGGUGUCUAGCUAUAGGUGAAGAAAACGAGGGUUGCUUCUCUGAUGAUAGUGAAUGUCUGAGAACAAAUUGGACAUCAACAUUGGAAUUGAAAUGGCCAGACUGCUCAACUGGAGAUAACUGCUGUGGUUUAUGUCUAGGAUUCUUAUACCAAGGAGUGCUACCCCAGCUUUUAAUGGACAAAUAUCUCAAUGAUGUAAUGCUAGGGAGAUGCAUAAAGGAGAAGAAGAAUGAUUACAGUUUCAACAAUCAAGCAGGUAUAAAAUGUCGUUCAAUGAAAGAUUUGCAUUGCAAUAUGACAAAAAAACUUCUCAAAAAUCUUUCUAGAAGUUUAGUACUAUGAUAUGAAAACUCCUUUAACAGAGAGGGUUUACAUGGGAUGAAACAUGGCAAAUGAUCUCAGCUCACAAUGAUUGGGUGCUUAUACAAAGGUGUGUUGUCAACUUAUUGUAGUCUUAGAUGUUAGUUUCAAUUAUAUGUGGCCAACAGUUUCUUUAUGUUGAAAUCUGCAGAAACAAUUUCAAACAGAACCAAAUUGAAACCAAAUUAUAAUGAUUUUUGCUUGAUUUAUGGAAAUCCAGCUUCUAAUAAGGUUGUAACAAAGCAGGUCAAGACAUUUGUUGUAAUGGUGUAGGGUAGAUUUUGACAAGCUUAUAAGCAGUCUGCAACCUUGUUUAUUUUUUUCCCUCUUCAAAUCUUUGGACUGUAGUCAGUGUGCACUUAGUUUUAGGUGUUCAGUGCGUCUAAAUAUACGUGUGCUACUUCAUUUUGCAUUGAUUGCAAUAGCAUUUUCUCAAGCAUGUGGAGAUUUGUAAGUAUAUGAGUUAUAUAUUGUAAAGUAUCAUCUGUACAAGUGUGUAGAGAUUUUUAAGAUGUAUAACAAUGGUUAAGCUUGUUUUAUACUAAGGACAAUGACUCAAUAACCUCUUAACUUGGAAAUUUCAUUGAGAGGGCACAAAUCUUCUGAAAAAUUUGACCUAGUAAGCAUCUAAAUAUUUGUCACCACCUUACAUGUAAGACAAAAAAUAUGCUCAAUGGUCUGUUUGAUUAUCUGCCUAUUGACUGUAACUACUCUUUUUACAGCUUCAAAAUGAUGCAGUCCCAUUCAGGUUAAUUGGACAUGAAGUUCCAAUCAGCUAAUGAUAUUUGAGAGACAAUGCUGAGUUUCAAGUACUCCAUUAGAGACCAGUUCUCUAAAAUGGAUAAGACCUCAAAAAACAUGCAUUUAUCCCACUACACCAAUGUGGUGUAGUUUAUGAUAUGCAUAGGAAUACUGUGGUUAAGGAAAUGGAUCUUGAAUCCUUGAUCAUAUAUGUCUGUGACCUCAAAUCUGGAAGUAAUGACCAGGACCUCAUUUAUGGUUAUACAAGUUGAAAGAUGAAAAUUGAAUAUUGUACUGUACUUGGGCAUAAAAAGCUGUAAUUGUAUAUAAUACAAUCUGGCUUCUUUUUAAUUUUUUUAAUAUCAAAAUUUCUCUGCAGUUUUU